rnacentral:rRNA from 1 species
GAUGAACGCUGGCGGCGUGCCUAAUACAUGCAAGUAGAACGCUGAAGGAGGAGCUUGCUCUUCUGGAUGAGUUGCGAACGGGUGAGUAACGCGUAGGUAACCUGCCUGGUAGCGGGGGAUAACUAUUGGAAACGAUAGAUAAUACCGCAUGACAACAGUUAUUGCAUGAUAACUGAUAAAAAGGGGCAACUGCUCCACUACCAGAAGGACCUGCGUUGUAUUAGCUGGUUGGUGAGGUAACGGCGCACCAAGGCGACGAUACAUAGCCGACCCGAGAGGGUGAUCCGCCCCACUGGGACUGAGACACGGCCCAGACUCCUUCGGGGGGCAGCAGUAGGGGAUCUUCGGCAAUGGACGGAAGUCUGACCGAGCCACGCCGCGGGAGUGAAGAAGGUUUUCGGAUCGUAAAGCUCCGUUGUAAGAGAAGAACGAGUUUGAGAGUUGAAAGUUCACACUGUGACGGUAUCUUACCAGAAAGGGACGGCUAACUACGUG